GACGAACGCUGGCGGCGUGCUUAACACAUGCAAGUCGAGCGGUAAGGCCCUUUCGGGGGUACACGAGCGGCGAACGGGUGAGUAACACGUGGGUGACCUGCCUCUAGCUCUGGGAUAAGCCUGGGAAGCUGGGUCUAAUACCGGAUAUGACCUCGCGGUGCAUGUUGCGGGGUGGAAAGCCUUGUGCGGCUAGGGAUGGGCCCGCGGCCUAUCAGCUUGUUGGUGGGGUGAUGGCCUACCAAGGCGACGACGGGUAGCCGGCCUGAGAGGGCGACCGGCCACACUGGGACUGAGACACGGCCCAGACUCCUACGGGAGGCAGCAGUGGGGAAUCUUGCGCAAUGGGCGAAAGCCUGACGCAGCGACGCCGCGU
rnacentral:rRNA from 1 species